rnacentral:misc_RNA from 1 species
CACGCAGGUGGCAAGCGUUGUCAGGAAUUAUUGGGCGUAAAGCGCGCGCAGGCGGUCCUUUAAGUCCGAUGUGAAAGCCCACGGCUCAACCGUGGAGGGUCAUUGGAAACUGGGGGACUUGAGUACAGAAGAGGAAAGCGGAAUUCCACGUGUAGCGUUGAAAUGCGUAGAGAUGUGGAGGAACACCAGUGGCGAAGGCGGCUUUCUGGUCUGUAACUGACGCUGAGGCGCGAAAGCGUGGGGAGCAAACAGG